rfam:Trichosporon oleaginosus strain IBC0246 unplaced genomic scaffold CC85scaffold_25, whole genome shotgun sequence.
GACAACAUGGCGGAGUGGUCUAACGCGGCAGACUUGAAUUUAUUACAAUCAACAUCUGUUCUCUUCGGAGGCGCAGGUUCGAACCCUGCUGUUGUCG